CCUGGUUGAUCCUGCCAGUAGUUAUAUGCUUGUCUCAAAGAUUAAGCCAUGCAUGUCUAAGUACAAACGAAAAUAAAGUGAAACCGCAAAAGGCUCAUUAUAUCAGUUAUGGUUUCUUAGAUCGUAUCCACAAUUACUUGGAUAACUGUGGUAAUUCUAGAGCUAAUACAUGCAUUUAAAGAGAAACCAGUAAAAUGGGUUCUCUGCUUUUAUUAGAUUUAAACCAAUGGGGAGCGUUUCGGCGUUCUUACAUUUAAACUGGUUGAACUCUGGAUAAUUUGUUGAUCGCAUGGUCUCGUACCGGCGACGGAUCUUUCAAAUGUCUGCCCUAUCAACUAUUGAAGGUAAUGUCUUGGAUUACCUUGGUUGCAACGGGUAACGGGGAAUCAGGGUUCGAUUCCGGAGAGGGAGCCUGAGAAACGGCUACCACAUCUAAGGAAGGCAGCAGGCGCGUAAAUUACCCACUCCCAGCACGGGGAGGUAGUGACGAAAAAUAACAAUACAAGACUCACAUCCGAGGCCUUGUAAUUGGAAUGAGUACACUUUAAAUCCUUUAACAAGGAUCAAUUGGAGGGCAAGUCUGGUGCCAGCAGCCGCGGUAAUUCCAGCUCCAAUAGCGUAUAUUAAAGUUGUUGCGGUUAAAACGUUUCGUAGUUGAACUUGUGUUCCGCACGGGCAGUACCAAAUAACUGGUAACAGUAGUGGUACCUUGUCUUACUUCCUGUCUUCGGAUUAGGAAAUGUGCGUGGACGUAUUAUCGGCGUGUUCGCUCUAGUAGCGUUCACAUAAGCCCCAUCGCAGUGCUCUUAAACAAGUGUUGCUGUGGGCCGAUAAA
rnacentral:rRNA from 1 species